GCCAAAUCAGUUAAUUAUAUUAGUAUUUACAUGGUCUUAAGAUCUUAGCUUAAUGAACCAAAUGUGAUUUGUCAAAAUUGACAACUGGGAAGGAAGGCCAAGAAUCUGAAAGAAAGACCAGAGAUUAUGCAGAAACUGGAACAGCAGAUGAAUACCCAAGUGGACAAGGCAGACUUCUGAUCAUGCAGCAUCCACAUCUUCAUGUUCAUGAGGCAAAUCACCUCCUCUUUUCUAGCACUGGGGCACUGGAGUAAGGCCCGUGGCUCCUCCCUCAGGCCGUGUCCUUCUGGAGUUUCUGUAUUUCUGCGUUGUGGUGAUCCUUCAUGCUGCCGUGGUUUCAUGACAAUGUACACAUGUAUGGCCCGCAGCUCGUCCA
rnacentral:lncRNA from 1 species